GACGAACGCUGGCGGCGUGCUUAACACAUGCAAGUCGAACGGAAAGGCCCUGCUUUUGUGGGGUGCUCGAGUGGCGAACGGGUGAGUAACACGUGAGUAACCUGCCCUUGACUUUGGGAUAACCUCAGGAAACUGGGGCUAAUACCGGCUAGGAGCUCCUGCUGCUUGGUGGGGGUUGGAAAGUUUCGGCGGUUGGGGAUGGACUCGCGGCUGAUCAGCUUGUUGGUGGGGUAGUGGCUUACCAAGGCUUUGACGGGUAGCCGGCCUGCGAGGGUGACCGGCCACAUUGGGACUGAGAUACGGCCCAGACUCCUACGGGAGGCAGGAGUGGGGAAUAGUGCACAAUGGGCGGAAGCCUGAUGCAGCAACGCCGCGUGCGGGAUGACGGCCUUCGGGUUGUAAUCCGCUUUCGCCUGUGACGAAGCGUGAGUGACGGUAAUGGGUAAAGAAGCACCGGCUAACUACGUG
rnacentral:rRNA from 1 species